CGGAGGAUCCAAGCGUUAUCCGGAAUCAUUGGGUUUAAAGGGUCCGUAGGCGGGUUUAUAAGUCAGUGGUGAAAGCCCAUCGCUCAACGAUGGAACGGCCAUUGAUACUGUAGAUCUUGAAUUAUUAGGAAGUAACUAGAAUAUGUAGUGUAGCGGUGAAAUGCUUAGAGAUUACAUGGAAUACCAAUUGCGAAGGCAGGUUACUACUAAUGGAUUGACGCUGAUGGACGAAAGCGUGGGUAGCGAACAGGAUUAGAUACCCUGGUAGUCCACGCCGUAAACGAUGGAUACUAGCUGUUUGGAGCAAUCUGAGUGGCUAAGCGAAAGUGAUAAGUAUCCCACCUGGGGAGUACGCUCGCAAGAGUG
rnacentral:rRNA from 1 species